UGUUAUGGCAGCUGUGCGCGGGAUACCUUCGGGUAUGCCGAGUUUCAAGUUCUCGGUCCGCGAACCUGCGUACAGCUGCCACCUUC
rnacentral:antisense_RNA from 1 species